UACAGAGGGGGCAAGCGUUAUUCGGAAUUAUUGGGCGUAAAGGGCGCGUAGGCGGCUUUGCAAGUGGCGGGUGAAAUCCCUCGGCUUAACCGAGGAACUGCCUGUCAAACUGCAUGGCUUGAGACCAGGAGAGGUGAGUGGAAUUCCCAGUGUAGCGGUGAAAUGCGUAGAUAUUGGGAGGAACACCGGUGGCGAAGGCGGGUCUCUGGGCCGUAACUGACGCUGAGGAGCGAAAGCGUGGGGAGCGAACAGG
rnacentral:rRNA from 1 species